UAAAGUUGUUGCGGUUAAAAAGCUCGUAGUCGGAGGUGUGUCUCGGACGGUUGGUUCGCCGCUUGCCGGUGCUCAACUGGCCGGUCCGGACGUCCUGCCGGUGGGGCUGUAAAAGGCUCCGUUAUCCUUCUUUGGUCCUCUUCAUUGAGUGCCUUGGUGGGCCGGCACGUUUACUUUGAACAAAUUAGAGUGCUCAAAGCAGGCCGUUGGUCGCCUGAAUACUGUGUGCAUGGAAUAAUAGAAUAGGACCUCGGUUCCAUUUUGUUGGUUUUCAGAACUCGAGGUAAUGAUUAAUAGGGACGGACGGGGGCAUUCGUAUUGCGACGUUAGAGGUGAAAUUCUUGGAUCGUCGCAAGACGAACCGAUGCGAAAGCAUUUGCCAAGAACGUUUUCGUUGAUCAAGAACGAAAGUUAGAGGUUCGAAGGCGAUCAGAUACCGCCCUAGUUCUAACCAUAAACGAUGCCAGCUAGCCAUCCGCCGAAGUUCCUUAUAUGACUCGGCGGGCAGCUUCCGGGAAACCAAAGCUCUUGGGUUCCGGGGGAAGUAUGGUUGCAAAGCU
rnacentral:rRNA from 1 species